rnacentral:ncRNA from 1 species
GUCAGUGAAGAUGCGGACUAUUUGCACCUGACAGAAAGAUCCUAUGAAGCUUUACUAUUCCUUGGGAUUGGCUUUGGACUUUUCUUGCGUAGCUUAGGUGGAAGGCAAAGAAGGCCUCCUUCCGAGGGGGCCUGUGUCAUUAGUGAGAUGCCAUUCUGGAAUAGCCAAGGGACAAUUUCAGGUAGACAAUUUCUAUAGGGUGUAGGCUCCCAAAAGGUAACGAAGGCAUGCAAAGGUUUCCUUGGGUCAGACGGAGAUUAACCCUCAAGUUCAAAGGUAAAAGAGAGCUUCACUGCAAGACCCACCCGUGUUGGGAUGAAAGUCUGCCUUAGUGAUUCUACGGUGCCAAGUGGAAAGGUCCUCGCUCAAUUGAUAAAUUGUAAUUCUCUAUGUCAUUUUUGUUAGUACAAA